UUUUUUUUUUUUUUUUCAGAUAGAGUCUUGUUUUGUCACCCAGGUUGGAGUGCAGUGGCGCAUGGUCUCUGCUCACUGCAAGCUCCACCUCCCAGGUUCACGCCAUUCUCCUGCCUCAGCCUCCUGAGUAGUAGGGACUACAGGUGCCUGCCACCACACCUGGCUAAUUUUUUGUACUUUUAGUAGAGACAGGGUUUCACCGUGUUAGCUAGGAUGGUCUCAAUCUCCUGACCUUGUGAUCUACCCGCAUUGGCCUCCCAAAGUGCUGGAAUUGCAGGUGUGAGCCACCAUAUCCAGCCAUUUUGGGGUAUCUUUACAGCAGUGCUCCACUCUCUGAAGUACCAGCUUACUCUAUUAGUAUGUUCCCACACCGCUAUGAAGAAAAUAUUUAAGACUGGUAAUUUACAAAGGAACAAUUUUUUUUUUAAAUUAUACUUUAAGUUCUAGGGUACAUGUGCACAAUGUGCAGGUUUGUUACAUAUGUAUACAUGUGCCAUGUUGGUGUGCUGCACCAUUAACUUGUCAUUUACAUUAGGUAUAUCUCCUAAUGCUAUCCCUUCCCCAUUCGCUCUCCCCACAAUAGGACCCGGUGUGUGAUGAUCCCUUUCCUGUGUCCAAGUGAUGUCAUUUUUCAAUUCCCACCUAUAAGUGAGAACAUGUGGUAUUUGAUUUUGUGUUCUUGCAAUAGUUUGCUGAGAAUGAUGGUUUCCAGCUGCAUCCAUGUCCCUACAAAGGACACAAACUCAUCCUUUUUUAUGGCUGCAUAGUAUUCCAUGGUGUAUAUGUGCCACAUUUUCUUAAUCCAGUCUGUCACCGAUGGACAUUUGGGUUGAUUCCAAGUCUUUACUGUUGUGAAUAGUGUCGCAAUAAACAUAUGUGUGCAUGUGUCUUUAUAGCAGCAUGACUUAUAAUCCUUUGGGUAUAUACCCAGUAAUGGGAUGGCUGGGUCAAAUGGUAUUUCUAGUUCUAGAUCCUUGAGGAAUCGCCACACUGUUUUCCACAAUGGUUGAACUAGUUUACAGUCCCACCAACAGCAUAAAAGUGUUCCUAUUUCUCCACAUCCUCUCCAGCACCUGUUGUUUCCUGAUUUUUUAAAGAUUGCCAUUCUAACUGGUGUGAGGUGGUAUCUCAUUGUGUUUUUUGAUUUGCAUUUCUUUGAUGGCGAGUGAUAAUGAGCAAUUUUUCAUGUGUCUGUUGGUUGUAUGAAUGUCUUCUUUUGAGAAGUAUCUGUUCAUAUCCUUUGCCCACUUUUUGAUGGGGUUGUAAAUUUGAUUGAGUUCAUUAUAGGUUCUGGAUAUUAGCCCUUUGUCAGAUGAGUAGAUUGCAAAAAUUUUCUCUCAUUCUGUAGAUUGCCUGUUCACUCUGAUGGUAGUUUGUUUUGCUGUGCAGAAGAUAUUUAGUUUAAUUAGAUCCCAUUUGUCAAUUUUGGCUUUUGUUGCCGUUGCUUUUGGUGUUUUAGACGUGAAGUCCUUGCCCAUGACUAUGUCCUGAAUGGUAUUACCUAGGUUUUCUUCUAGGGUUUUUAUGGUUUUAGGUCUAACAUUAAGUCUCUAAUCCAUCUU
ensembl:lncRNA